AGGAGGAACAACCACAGUGGCGGCAGCCAGCUCUGGAGCCCUGGAGUCAGCUCCCGCAGUAGCUACAGAGCUCUCGGUGUGCAGGGGCAUGGAUGCUCAGGGGGUGG
rnacentral:pre_miRNA from 1 species